GAUGAACGCUGGCGGCGCGCCUAACACAUGCAAGUCGAACGGUUAAAGCACCUUUUUGGUGUGUAUAAAGUGGCGAACGGCUGAGUAACACGUUGGCAACCUGCCCUCCUCUUGGGGAUAGCCUCGGGAAACCGAGGAUAAUACCCGAUACUUCAAUGUGGCCGCAUGACGACAUUGAGAAAGCUUUUGCGGAGAAGGAUGGGCCCGCGGCCUGUUAGCUUGUUGGUGGGGUAGAGGCCUACCAAGGCAAUGAUGGGUAGCUGGGUUGAGAGACCGACCAGCCAGAUUGGGACUGAGACACGGCCCAGACCCCUACGGGGGGCAGCAGGGGGGAAUCUUGGACAAGGGGCGGAAGCCUGAUGCAGGGACGCCGCGGGGGGGACGAAGGGCUUCGGGUUGGAAACCGCUUUCAGCAGGGACGAGGCGAUAAGUGACGGUACCUGCAGAAGAAGCCCCGGCUAACUACGUG
rnacentral:rRNA from 1 species